CACUUCGGCCUACCGCCCAAGUGGCCAAGGGGUCUCCAGCAGCAAGGAGGUGCUGGCAGUUAGAAGUCAGGCCAGUGUGUACUGAGGAGGCUAGGGCAAGGGACGCUGGUGGCCAGUGCUCUCUGGACUAAGAAAGCCUCCCGUUGUCCUUAUGACAACACAAUGGAUGAUUAAGCCUUCAUGUGCCUUUCAGAAAGUCAAGGGUGUAAGGAACCAUUCUGGUCACUCUUGUUUUGAUUCUGUGGUGGACCUUGCGGACUGAGUCAUUAAACAAGGGUGCCAAUCCCCUCCUUCCAUGCCCUGUGGUAGUUGGUCUCUGGAAAAAACUGAAAUCUACAUUUCCCAGACACCCUUGCAGCUAGGUUUCUGUGGGUGGUCUCAGCUGCUCUAGAUAGAUGCCUGCCCAAGGUAUAGAAGGUGGAAGUGAGCAACACAGAGCGGUGGGCAGAUGGGACGCCCCGGCUGGCAGGGAACAGAAAGGUCUGGUUCUCCCACAGCAGCUGGCUCCAGUGUUUGGGCCUGAGCAUCACAGACAGUGGUGUUUCCGUGGCAACAGUCUCAGGCAGGGUUAGCUGAUUGUCCAGGCUAUGCUGUCCCUGGCCAUGGCGCGUCAAAGUUUAUUCCCCUGGUAGUUCUGGAAUCUCAAUCCGAACACCCAGGAAUAAAUUCCACUCUGCUCAAACCAGAAAGAGUGGAUUCUGGUGUCUGCGACUAAUCACUGCGACUGGAUACAAAUUCAGAUUCUGAAAUCACCUCUAUUGUGUUUUCUCGUGUGGAAGAAAUACAGAAAAGCUUAAGAAAAACAAGUAUAAAUCAUCUGCAAUCCCACCACCAGGAGCCUGUGGUGGUGUCUGCAUAUAUAAAGAAGUAGUCACCUCUUCCAGUAUUUAUGGACAGGAUUUGGGAAGAAAAGACCUUCAUCAGACAGCCUGCCUAAAGAUUCUGGAUAUCUCUCAAACCUUUUCUAUGGACCACUCCACUUCCACUACAUUCUGGGGAGCUGCUCUCCGAUGAUCCAAGCCAUACCAAUUUCCUCAGUGCUCUAAUGUGCCAAGUGUGACUGAUGCUGGAUUUUGUGGUCCACUGGGGUGCUGAUACCUUCAACUGAACUCCAGAGCUCUCACAAAGUAACGGAUCGAAGGCUGGACGUGUGACCUGGGCCCAGCAAACCCAUGCCAGGACUUGCCACAGAACUUUUGUGAACAAGAACCUCUAUUCCCUUGGGAAGCUGUUGGGGCUACCACCCGCAACAAACUGACUAGACAGUGAGGCCAACAUGGAAAGCAGAGGGCGAAGGUAACUCCUGAUGACACAACGGCCUUCAAAUGCAUCAUCUCCUGAGAUCAGCAGAGGGACAGGUGGCCGGGUCAAGGUCACACGGGCUACUGAGGCACAGCAGACCUGCGGACAAAGGUCUUCCUACUACAACUCCGGGUUUGACGCAUCACCAGAGGCAGGUUUCCUCAGGAGCCACGGAGGCUGAAGCCGCAGGGCCCUCACUUGUGUGACCCUUUCUUAGAUCUGACACGUAAUUCUGGGUUCUUUUUCUUAAAAAGUGCCACCCAAAAAUAUAUAAGUUCUACGCUCUAGGCCCACAAGGCAUGGAUCAGCCCCAAUCCCCAGCCACACCCGAGGCUGUUUUCCCACUCCUUUCUCCCCAUCUUUCAAGAACCCCAAACCCACAGGGCGUUGUCACAGACUUGAAAUAGCUACUCAAAGCCUCUGCUGCCAGAACGUCUCUGCUCCGUCCUUAUCUGCAGUUUCCUCCCCAUUACUGAUGAUUUAGACACUUGUUAUGUAAAUGACAUCUACAGAGACCCAUUCUGUGAAAUGCUUACAGGACUCUUUUAACGUCUUCAUCAUUUUAAAAAUAAAACCAAAUCUUCCUGCUUC